GGGCGGGUGCAGGAUCCUGGGCUGUGUCCCCCGGUGCCCUGGGAUCCUGGGCCUGUGCUGCUGGAAUCGUGCUCCUGGGACGCACAGCUCCU
rnacentral:pre_miRNA from 1 species